GCUUCCUGGGAACAGGGGCUCGGCGAGGCGGUGUGCGCGGUGACUCAGCGCCGAGGUCUCCUCCGCGCCCGGUCUCCGGGCUUCGCCCGCUGUGCCCUCCUUGGGCCGCAGCCGUCCUGUGCGCUGUUCGGCCGCUGGAAGCCCUGAGUGUCUCGAAAGUUUUGAUUUGGCACCGGGAAGGGCUUUGAAGUUGCUCAGAGUUACGGGGAGAGACCACCGGUUUCCGGAGGCCUUUGGGGGACGUGAAGAACGUCAGAGAGAUUGGUGUUGGCAGUUACCAGGUUGCGGUUUGCACCUGCGGCCAGCCCGGGGACUGAGAUUUGAAAAGAUUGUCCCACCUCCCUUACCCCGCCAGAAACUCAGAGCAUUUGGUAUCCAAACUGCCCUUUCCUCCUGUCCUUGAGGAUUAGAAACCCAGUCCUCCCUUGGCACUUUGCACUACCUCUGUCUGGAUAAGGAAACUGACUAGUGAAACAACUUGAGGAAUGGAGAUGUAAACAGCUAAGCUGCCACCUGCCUCUCUGGGACCGUAUCUUGUGUAUGGUACUUCCUCUGUGGAUGUUUGUGCAAUGGUUGGAUGAAUGAAUGAAUGAGGAGCAAACACACAUAGGAUUAGAUGGUGCAUCUCCCUGAAGAUCCUUAGUGUGCCUGUUCUCCAUGGGACCGGAGGCUCUCUGCAAAGGCCAUCCUGGUACACUUCUCACCCAGAAUAAAGCCUGCUGCUGCACUAUUUGGGUUCGUGUUGACCCUUGCUCUUCGGAGACUUUUCCUUGUGCUGUGGCCUGUGUCCCUGGACUUGGGCAUGUCGAAUGUGCUGUUUCAGCCCGCCCUGAAACUCUCAAGUCACCAGCUGCUAAGGCCAGCUGGGAGGAGCCUAGCCCGUCUCCGCCGAGUUCUCGUGUAGGCCCAAAGACUAGAUCCAACGUCGAAGGAUGUGGUUUUUUGGCUUCCAAAUCAGGUAACUCUGGGUAAGUCACUUCAGCUCUCUAUGCCUCCGUAUCCUCAUGUGUAAACGGGAGGUAAUAACAUACUCCUCCCACCUCCUAGGGCUCCUGGGAGGAUCAGCCGAGACUGUGAAUGUGACAACGCCUUGUAAACUGUAAAGGCGCAGUGCUGUUUCAACAACAGGGCCGUUUUUUGCAUCCAACUAUGACAACACAGUUGGCUCAUUCAUUGUCAUCAGUGAUGUCAAUCAUCUGGGAAUGGCUUAGGUCAGAAAUCCGCUGGAGAAGCCAGGCUACUCCCCGGGUGGGAAUCUUCUCCUCCUUGUGUUCGUGAAGCUAGAACACUGAGUACCGGCCCUGCUUGCAACAGAAGGUCAUCAACAUUUUCUGAUGACCCAGUGAAUGUCUGCUAAAAAUUGUGUGAUUCUGGGGCGCUGGGCUGGCUCAGUCAGAAGACCACGCGACUCCUGAUCUUGGGAUCGUGAGUUUGACCCCACGCUGGGUGUAGAGAUAACUAAAAAAAUAAGCUUAAAAAAAUUUAAAAACUGUGUGAUUCUCACACAUGCUGCAACAUGGAUGAACCUUGAAGACGUUAUGUAAAGUGAAGUGAUUCACACAUAGAAAGACAAAUAUUGUGUGAUUUCACUUAUAUGAGGUCCCUGGAGCAGUCAACAUCAUGGAGACAGACUGUAGAAUGGUGUCUACCAGGGGCUGGGGGGGGGACACGGGGAGUUUGUGUUUAAUG